rnacentral:rRNA from 1 species
AUGAACGCUAGCUACAGGCUUAACACAUGCAAGUCGAGGGGCAGCAUGGUCUUAGCUUGCUAAGGCCGAUGGCGACCGGCGCACGGGUGAGUAACACGUAUCCAACCUGCCGUCUACUCUUGGACAGCCUUCUGAAAGGAAGAUUAAUACAAGAUGGCAUCAUGAGUCCGCAUGUUCACAUGAUUAAAGGUAUUCCGGUAGACGAUGGGGAUGCGUUCCAUUAGAUAGUAGGCGGGGUAACGGCCCACCUAGUCUUCGAUGGAUAGGGGUUCUGAGAGGAAGGUCCCCCACAUUGGAACUGAGACACGGUCCAAACUCCUACGGGAGGCAGCAGUGAGGAAUAUUGGUCAAUGGGCGAGAGCCUGAACCAGCCAAGUAGCGUGAAGGAUGACUGCCCUAUGGGUUGUAAACUUCUUUUAUAAAGGAAUAAAGUCGGGUAUGCAUACCCGUUUGCAUGUACUUUAUGAAUAAGGAUCGGCUAACUCCGUGCCAGCAGCCGCGGUAAUACGGAGGAUCCGAGCGUUAUCCGGAUUUAUUGGGUUUAAAGGGAGCGUAGAUGGAUGUUUAAGUCAGUUGUGAAAGUUUGCGGCUCAACCGUAAAAUUGCAGUUGAUACUGGAUAUCUUGAGUGCAGUUGAGGCAGGCGGAAUUCGUGGUGUAGCGGUGAAAUGCUUAGAUAUCACGAAGAACUCCGAUUGCGAAGGCAGCCUGCUAAGCUGCAACUGACAUUGAGGCUCGAAGGUGUGGGUAUCAAACAGGAUUAGAUACCCUGGUAGUCCACACGGUAAACGAUGAAUACUCGCUGUUUGCGAUAUACAGCAAGCGGCCAAGCGAAAGCGUUAAGUAUUCCACCUGGGGAGUACGCCGGCAACGGUGAAACUCAAAGGAAUUGACGGGGGCCCGCACAAGCGGAGGAACAUGUGGUUUAAUUCGAUGAUACGCGAGGAACCUUACCCGGGCUUAAAUUGCAGAUGAAUUACGGUGAAAGCCGUAAGCCGCAAGGCAUCUGUGAAGGUGCUGCAUGGUUGUCGUCAGCUCGUGCCGUGAGGUGUCGGCUUAAGUGCCAUAACGAGCGCAACCCUUGUUGUCAGUUACUAACAGGUUCCGCUGAGGACUCUGACAAGACUGCCAUCGUAAGAUGUGAGGAAGGUGGGGAUGACGUCAAAUCAGCACGGCCCUUACGUCCGGGGCUACACACGUGUUACAAUGGGGGGUACAGAGGGCCGCUACCACGCGAGUGGAUGCCAAUCCCAAAAACCUCUCUCAGUUCGGACUGGAGUCUGCAACCCGACUCCACGAAGCUGGAUUCGCUAGUAAUCGCGCAUCAGCCACGGCGCGGUGAAUACGUUCCCGGGCCUUGUACACACCGCCCGUCAAGCCAUGGGAGCCGGGGGUACCUGAAGUGCGUAACCGCGAGGAGCGCCCUAGGGUAAAACUGGUGACUGGGGCU